CGGGGACACACAAGGCGAUAGGGUUUUGCAUACCUUCGGAGGAAAAGAAACCAACUGGGAUUACCUUAGUAACGGCGAGUGAAGCGGUAAAAGCUCAAAUUUGAAAUCUGGUACUUUCAGUGCCCGAGUUGUAAUUUGUAGAAUUUGUCUUUGAUUAGGUCCUUGUCUAUGUUCCUUGGAACAGGACGUCAUAGAGGGUGAGAAUCCCGUUUGGCGAGGAUACCUUUUCUCUGUAAGACUUUUUCGAAGAGUCGAGUUGUUUGGGAAUGCAGCUCAAAGUGGGUGGUAAAUUCCAUCUAAAGCUAAAUAUUGGCGAGAGACCGAUAGCGAACAAGUACAGUGAUGGAAAGAUGAAAAGAACUUUGAAAAGAGAGUGAAAAAGUACGUGAAAUUGUUGAAAGGGAAGGGCAUUUGAUCAGACAUGGUGUUUUUUGCAUGCACUCGCCUCUCGUGGGCUUGGGCCUCUCAAAAAUUUCACUGGGCCAACAUCAAUUCUGGCAGCAGGAUAAAUCAUUAAGAAUGUAGCUACUUCGGUAGUGUUAUAGCUUUUUGGAAUACUGUUAGCCGGGAUUGAGGACUGCGCUUCGGCAAGGAUGUUGGCAUAAUGGUUAAAUGCCGCCCGUCUG
rnacentral:rRNA from 1 species